CUGAAUAUCCGUCAUUGAACACUCAAGAGAACCCUAGACCAAAGACUCCCCACGUCUUACCCUCUUCUUCAUCUUAUGAAGGAACCCCUUCCUUUUCAACCUGACGAGCACCCCAAAAUACCAUAGCCUCCGCUCCUUCACCAUCAUAACUGGCUAGAAUCAGGCGACCAUACACACACACAUAGAACUAAUAGAUCAGCCGUCACCAGCCACCUCUGAACCUAGCUGAUCUGCAGCCAUACCCCUGAUCUAUUCGACCUACCUCCAUCCUUCUUCUUCACCUACAUGCAGCAACAGCCGCAGAGACCAAAAAUAAGAUCUCUAUCUUCUUCUUCUCCAUUCCAAAACAAGUGAAAUCAUCCACUCCCUCUCAAUUCCAACACUGAAAACACACACACACAUAUUCACCCACGCAUAGCAAGAGAUAUCAGAGUAAAAGUAUUCGAGGGUUUCGUUUGUUCUGAUUUCUAACUUUUCCAUUUUUGGAUUUUUCUAGUUCUUCGCCAACAUUAGCUGAGGUGAGUGUUCGAAGUCUUGGGGUUCUGAUGUUUGGCUAUAAUUCUAUAUUUUUAGUACAUUAAUUACUUUACAUUUUGAUGUAUUAAUGCUAAAUUGUAUUACAUUUAUGCUUAAUUAAGUUUGAGCUUUAAUCGCUAGUGUCUUGCACUAAUUGUGUGUUUUAUGUCUUGUAGGAGUGAUUCUGAGCUAUACAGAUAUUAUCGAAUGAAUUCAAGUGAUUUGGAGCUUUGAAGUCCGAGUAAAAACCCAAGUAAUUAAGCCGAGAUCGUGUCAUGGGUAAACUUUGAUAGUUAAGAACAAAUGAAGACUCGAGUAUGCAUAUUACACACAGUCUAGUAAAAUAUACAUAACGUUUUUCUCAAAUCUCCAUUUGGGCUCCACAAUAUAUGGUUGGAAAGCUAACUAAAAGGACUACAACUUUCACGUUUUACGUUUUUUCGAAUUAAAAGGGACCAGGGUGAAAAGUGUGUGUCAAUAGUGCGGCCGCGCUCGUCAUGCAGAAUACUUGGCACAAAUGUGGCCACUAGCACGAUCGCGAGUGCAACGGCUCUAGUAAAACUGGAGAAAAGUGUCUUUUUCACAUUGGAGAAGGUAUAAUUAUUUGGGCCUAACCCUACUUGAUAUAUAUACAUAAAAAAUAGUAUUUUGAAGGAGGGCUUUUUGAGAGGAAAACACAAGCAUAGAGCCGCCGUGGAGGCCGGAAUUCAUCAAGUUCCAUCUUUUCUUCCUCCAAACUUUGUAAUUUUUAUGUUUCUUUGUAUGAUUUAUUAUUUUACUGCCAUAUCUACAUGAAGCAAAACUUCACGUUCUAGGGUUGUGGUUCUUUCAUCGACUAUUGUUAUUCGGAUAUUGAUUU
rnacentral:lncRNA from 1 species